AACGCGAAGAACCUUACCUGGGCUUGAACCGCACAGGACCAGCUUGAGAAAUCAGGCCUUCCCGCAAGGGACCUGUGUAGAGGUGCUGCAUGGCUGUCGUCAGCUCGUGCCGUGAGGUGUUGGGUUAAGUCCCGCAACGAGCGCAACCCUUGUCCUUAGUUGCCAUCAUUCAGUUGGGAACUCUAAGGAGACCGCCGGUGACAAACCGGAGGAAGGUGGGGAUGACGUCAAGUCAUCAUGGCCUUUAUGGCCAGGGCUACACACGUGCUACAAUGGCAGGUACAGAGGGAAGCCAACGCGCGAGCGGGAGCCAAUCCCAGAAAGCCUGUCGUAGUCCGGAUCGGAGUCUGCAACUCGACUCCGUGAAGUCGGAAUCGCUAGUAAUCGCAGAUCAGCAUUGCUGCGGUGAAUACGUUCCCGGGCCUUGUACACACCGAGUAUA
rnacentral:rRNA from 1 species